GACGAACGCUGGCGGCGUGCUUAACACAUGCAAGUCGAACGAGAAAGCCCUUCGGGGUGAGUACAGUGGCGAACGGGUGAGUAACACGUGGGCAACCUGCCCCAGAGAGCGGGACAACCCGGGGAAACCCGGGCUAAUACCGCAUGAUGCGUCUCCGCAUAAGCGGAGCCGCCAAAAGGUAGCUUCGGCCUCCGCUCUGGGAUGGGCCCGCGCCGGAUUAGCUUGUUGGUUGGGGUAAUGGCCCACCAAGGCGACGAUCCGUAGCUGGUCUGAGAGGACGAUCAGCCACACUGGGACUGAGACACGGCCCAGACUCCUACGGGAGGCAGCAGUGGGGAAUCUUGCGCAAUGGGCGAAAGCCUGACGCAGCAACGCCGCGUGAGGGAAGAAGGCCUUCGGGUUGUAAACCUCUUUCAGUAGGGACGAAGCUUCCGGGGUUAAUAGCCUACGGGGUGACGGUACCUACAGAAGAAGCCCCGGCUAACUACGUG
rnacentral:rRNA from 1 species